AUGCGAUCUUCCUGGAACCGUCGCCUUCACGGAUCCGCCGCCGCAACCAUCGCCUUGUUCCCGUGCGCCACCGUCGCACCCUCUCCCAGCGCCCGAGCAUCCCCAUCGCUCCCUCUCCCAGCGCCGCCUCCGCCGCCAUGGCCCCUCCCCUUGCGCCCCGAACUGCCUCGCGCACUCGUCGCCCGUUAUACCACAGAGGAGGCGAAGACAGCGGCAGCGCGCCGCCUACUUCGCCGGUCGCCGCCUCGGCUGCACUCGGCGGGCGCCACGCCGUCUCCUCUCCAUGGGAGUGGCAGAUGGAAAUAUAUCAACGAUGGGGUGUGGUUCGUUCCUGUCAGGGUUUUUUCUUUGACGCUGCUGCUCCUGGAGCACCAACUCAAAAUUUUCUCAUAUACUGGUGUUGCCCGAGCACGAGCACAAGGCGACAUUUUUGCUGGCCAUCUUGUUCAACACCUGCUGGGGAGGGGGAGGAGGCCGGCAACAGGAGAAGGCGCAUGCCAGCGAGGAGGGCGAGCAGAAGGGUGCGGUGGAGGACGAUCAGGGGGAGACGUGAGCGCUCAGGCCUAG
rnacentral:rRNA from 1 species